GAUGAACGCUAGCUACAGGCUUAACACAUGCAAGUCGAGGGACCGGCGCACGGGUGAGUAACACGUAUCCAACCUGCCCUUUACUCGGGGAUAGACUUUCGAAAGAAAGAUUAAUACCCGAUAUAAAGGAUGGGGAUGCGUUCCCUUAGGUUGUUGGUGAGGUAACGGCCCACCAAGCCUUCGAUGGAUAGGGGUUCUGAGAGGAAGGCCCCCCUCAUUGGAACUGAGGCACGGUCCAAACUCCUACGGGAGGCAGCAGUGGGGAAUAUUGGUCAAGGGGCGCUAGUCUGAACCAUCCAAGUAGCGUGAAGGAUGAAGUCUUAUGGGUCUUAAUCUUCUUUGAUAUAAGAAUAGGUAUUAUAUGAAUAAGGAUCGGCUAACUCCGUGCCAGCAGCCGCGGUAAUAC
rnacentral:rRNA from 1 species